rnacentral:rRNA from 1 species
GACGAACGCUGGCGGCGUGCUUAACACAUGCAAGUCGAACGGAAAGGCCCUGCUUUUGUGGGUUGCUCGAGUGGCGAACGGGUGAGUAACACGUGAGUAACCUGCCCUUGACUUUGGGAUAACUUCAGGAAACUGGGGCUCAUACCGGAUAGGAUCUCUUGCUGCAUGGUGGGGGUUGGAAAGUUUCGGCGGUUGGGGAUGGACUCGCUGCUUAUCCGCUUGUUGGUGAGGUAGUGGCUUACCAAGGCUUCGACGGGUAGCCGGCCUGAGAGGGUGACCGGCCACAUGGGGACUGAGAGACGGACCAGACGCCUACGGGAGGCAGCAGUGGGAAGUAUUGCGCAAUGAGCGGAAGCGUGAGGCAGAAACGCCGGGUGCGGGAUGACGGCCUACGAGUUGUAAACAGAUGUCGAAGGAGACGAAGCGGGAGUGACGGUAAUGGGUAAGGAAGCAACGGCUAACUACGUG